rnacentral:lncRNA from 1 species
AUGCUUCACUCACAAAGCUUCAACAUACAAGCUUCAACAAAAGAAAAAAUUUAAAGAACUUAGUGAAGAAGGCCUUGGUGUAUUUAACACAAUACGUUGAAAUGAAGCAAAGCUUGUUUAUUUACAAAUAUGUACAUACACAUGAAUCAAAAUAAACAAACAAGAUGGAGCCUUCACAAAGGUUGCUCAAGAAAAGUCUUAGCAGUCGGCAGAGCCCCAGAAAGUGUAGGCACCGAAGGGUGAUCAUUCGGAGCCUCAGUACUGGGCAGAACCCCAGAAGGAAGAGGCACCGAAGGUUGAUCAUUUGGAGCUUCAUUACGCGGUACAGCCCUAGAAG